rnacentral:rRNA from 1 species
GCAGCACGGAGCUUGCUCUGGUGGCGAGUGGCGAACGGGUGAGUAAUGCGUCGGAACGUAUCCNAUAAUGGGGGAUAACGCAGCGAAAGCUGUGCUAAUACCGCAUACGCCCUCCGGGGGAAAGCAGGGGAUCGUAAGACCUUGCGUUAAUGGAGCGGCCGACGUCUGAUUAGCUAGUUGGUAGGGUAAAGGCCUACCAAGGCGACGAUCAGUAGCUGGUCUGAGAGGAUGAUCAGCCACACUGGGACUGAGACACGGCCCAGACUCCUACGGGAGGCAGCAGUGGGGAAUUUUGGACAAUGGGCGCAAGCCUGAUCCAGCCAUUCCGCGUGAGUGAAGAAGGCCUUCGGGUUGUAAAGCUCUUUCAGGAGGGAAGAAACGAUUGUGGCUAAUACCCAUGAUUAAUGACGGUACCUUCAGAAGAAGCACCGGCUAACUACGUGCCAGCAGCCGCGGUAAUACGUAGGGUGCGAGCGUUAGUCGGAAUUACUGGGCGUAAAGCGUGCGCAGGCGGUUUUUCAAGUCUGAUGUGAAAUCCCCGGGCUUAACCUGGGAACUGCGUUGGAAACUGAAAGACUAGAGUGCGGCAGAGGGGGGUAGAAUUCCACGUGUAGCAGUGAAAUGCGUAGAUAUGUGGAGGAAUACCGAUGGCGAAGGCAGCCCCCUGGGUCGACACUGACGCUCAUGCACGAAAGCGUGGGUAGCAAACAGGAUUAGAUACCCUGGUAGUCCACGCCCUAAACGAUGUCAACUAGUUGUUGGGGAGGGAGACCUCCUUAGUAACGCAGCUAACGCGUGAAGUUGACCGCCUGGGGAGUACGGUCGCAAGAUUAAAACUCAAAGGAAUUGACGGGGGCCCGCACAAGCGGUGGAUUAUGUGGAUUNAUUCGAUGCAACGCGAAAAACCUUACCUACCCUUGACA